UCACUGGUAGCUGAUUCACUGGUGGU
rnacentral:sRNA from 1 species